UUCAUUUCCUCUCGCUCAACUCGUGGCAUCAUUUUUGGCAUGCAGUUUUCAAUGGCGGGAAGGAUUACGCUACUUCAAUAUUCGAGGGCUCCUUCUCGUACUUCAUUCAAGGGCUCCUUCAGAGAGCGGCAAGAGUCAAUCGAUAAUCAAUGGGAGAGACCGAUUUGUGAAGGAAGGGGCAUCCAUCCUGCAGGACUCGAGAAGGUACUAAUUUUGCCCUGACUAUGGCUGUGCAGAAAAAAUUCUGUAAUUUUUUAGCAAAUUUCCACUCCUUUUUUGGUGUUUAGGGAAUUUCAACCCAUGGCUAGUUUAAGCUUUGCUCCUGCAUCGAAUAUUUCCGGCAUGGUCGUGCCUUUGGCUGUACCUUGCAAUGGCUUCUCUCACACUCAUGAGCGCUACUCAUUGGCCGGCAGGGUUGUGCUGUGAGUUCCAAUGUGUGCCGUGGUCUCAGUUAUUUCAGAUUACAGUAGUGGUAAUAUAUGCCUAGGGAGGUGGAGGGUUUGAAACCCCAUGGGCGAAGAAUGAGGAUUCGAAAUGAGCAAAGAAGAUAACAGCAGUACAAAUCAAGGGGGAUCGAACAAGAUCACUAAUAAGGCCAGGUCUUGCAAGGGUUGCUCGUAUUUAUUCCUCGUAGUUGAAGAUCAAAACCGCAACCGUCUCUGCGUUGGAUUCAACAGGGCUUUACAACAAGGGACUUGGAUGCUAUAUUCUCUGUAUUAAAACUUUAUGGUGUUUACCGGGGUCUGAAUUUAGGACUCUCUUAUGAUACUCCUGUACCAAACUAUGUUGAAUUAGAGUCUGAUAUAGAAGUUUCAAAUGAGGGACGGAGCUUGGAAGAUUUUAAGUAUGCUUGUGUUGGCUAUUCAGCUUAUGCAAACAAGAAAGAUACACCAGCUUAUCAACACGGACAGAUGGCACCUUAAUUGCUAUUCAGACACUGAUUUCUACUAGCUUAUGUUGAAUUAUGCAUUCCUUGAUUACAGGACAACCCCUGUUGAUUCUUGGAGUUGCAAAGCCCACAACUCUUGUGUUUCAGUUUUGGGAGAGGUUCCUUAUAUUAUUCAUUGCACCAUGAUGAAGAUAUAAGUGAGUCUUAGGCAUCUUUAAUUCAUUGUCCUCUUCCUGUUCAUCCUUUCUGGGUUUUUCAUAUUUGUCUUAUAAUUUGACAAUCUAAUUCAUGAAAACUUUGGCAAAAAUGGGCUGGAAAUUUAUCCCCUAAAAGUUUAUGUGCUUUUAAUUAAGCAUAAUAAGUGGUUAUGAAGAACUAAGCCUUUUGAAAUGACAACCCUUUUUUUGCAAAGUGCUUGAGGAUGUGCAUACAUUAUUUCUUGAAAAGGUGUCAUUUGAGAUUAUUGCUAAAUUUACAUUGUUGCAGUUUAUUUACUUACGCGUUGCUAUUA